rnacentral:rRNA from 1 species
UUUAGGUGGCCAUGGCGGCGGGGCCCACCCCUUUCCAUUCCGAACAGGGAAGUUAAGCCCGCUAGCGCCGAUGGUACUGCCAAUAGGUGGGAGAGUAGGAAGCCGCCUUACUUC